GUAGGCAAAGUCUCCUCUUUACAGAUGAGAGUCCUGCACUCAGGCUUGGCAGUGUGAGCUGCCCUCUGCAGGUGAACAGAGCCUGGUCUCUGUGGGGUCCUUGUGGAGCUUGCAGGCCACUGCCUCUGCUUUAAGGAGAAGCAUCUCUCCACUUCAUCCCCAACCACUUGUGUUGCCAUUGUAUUUCCGGAAGUGGCUUUUCUUCUAGAAGACUCCAGGGUCUGACUUCUGAAGAAAAGAAGGAAGAGGAAGGGUGGAGGAGAGGACACAGAGAGUGUGGCCUGCGGGUCUCUCCUGGUGUCCUGACAGCUUCUGGGUCAGAACUCGGAGACACCAUGACAAACAGCGCUCUGUCACAGCACGGGGUUCAGGCAAAGUCUCAGUGUCCAGGCGGUGAGGUCAGAGGUGGGGAAGCCCAGGGCUGGGGAUUCCCCAUCUCCCCAGUUUCACUUCUGCUCCUAACCUGGGUCAGGUCCUUCUGCCCGGACACUGAUGACGCGCAGACAGCUCUCACCCCCAUUGGGUGAAGCGAUCCCGGUGAACCAAUCAGAGUCGCCGCGGGCACUGGGUAUAAAGUCCACGCAGCGCGGGACUCAGACUUCCGGGAUCGCAGAUGGGGGCGAUGGCGCUGCGCUCGCUGCUCCUGCUGCUGGCGGCCGCCCUGGCCCCGACCCAGACCCGCGCGGGCUCACACUCGCUGCGGUAUUUCUACACCGCCGUGUCCCGGCCCGACCUCGGGGAGCCCCGGUUCAUUAUCGUCGGCUACGUGGACGACACGGAGUUCGUGCGCUUCGACAGCGACGCGGAGAAUCCGAGAUACGAGCCGCGCGCGGCGUGGAUGGAGCAGGAGGAGCCGGAGUAUUGGGAGGAGCAGACACGGAUCGCCAAGGACAAUGAGCAGAGAUCCCGAGGGAACCUGAGGACCGCUCUGCGAUACUACAACUAGAGCGAGGGCGGCUCUCACACACUACAGCGGACGUCUGGCUGUGAGGUGGGGUCGGACUGGAGCCUCCUUCGCGGAUACAUGCAGGAUGCCUACGACGGCCACGAUUACAUCGCCCUGAACGAAGACCUGAACUCGUGGACAGCGGCGGACAUGGCGGCGCGGAUCACCAGACGCAAGUGGGAGCAGGCUGGUGCUGCAGAGAGACACAAGGCCUACCUGGAGGGCGAGUGCAUGGAGUCGCUCCUUAGAUACCUGGAGCUCGGGAAGGAGACGCUGCUGCGCACAGAUCCCCCAAAGGCACAUGUGACCCAUCACCCCAGAUCUGAAGGUAAUGUCACCCUGAAGAGCUGGCCCUCGGACUUUGACCCUGAUGACAUCGACCUGACCUGGCAGUUGAAUGGGAAGGAGCUGACCCAGGACAUGGAGCUUGUGGAGACCAGUCCUGCAGGGGAUGGAACCUUCCAGAAGUUGGCAUCUGUGGUGGUGCCUCUUGGGAAGGAGAAGAAAUACACACGCCAUGUGGAACAUGAGGGGCUGCGUGAGCCCCUCACCCUGAGAAGGGAGCCUCUUCUAUCCACCGACUCUACCAUGGUGAACAUUGCUGUCCUGGCUGUCCUUGUAGUUAUGACCAUCAUUGGAGCUGUGGUGGUUUUAGAGAGGAGAAACAGAGGUGGACAAGAAGGAGACUAUGCUCCAGAUCCAGGGCAGGGACAGCUCCCAGAGCUCUGAUCUGUCUCUCCCAGAUUGUAAAGCAUGAAGACAGCUGCCUGGAGUGGACUGAGUGACAGAUGGUGUUUUCGGGUCUCUCCUGUGACAUCCAGAGUCCUCAGGUCUCUUUAGACAACAGUAUUUGAUGUUUCCUGUGAUUCUCAAUUGAUGGGCUCAAUGUGCCUGUGUUCCCUUCCACAGCCAACCUUCCUGGUGUAGCCACACACUGGGAGACAUCUGCAUCCUGUCAGCUCCAUGCUGCCCUGAGCUGCAGCUCCUCAUUCCCACUCUGAGAAUAAAAAUUUGAAUGUGACCUUGAUUGUUAACAUCUUGA